rnacentral:tRNA from 1 species
UCACGCCUGGCCGAGGUGCCGGGGCUGCGCCUGUUGGGCGCGCCGGCGCACCAGGUGCCGGUCUUGUCGUUCGUGCUCGACGGCGUGCACC